GAUAAAAGAUGCAUCAUAUUUUAAUUGUAAUAUUUUAUGAGUAAAAUGUGAAUCUGCAAUGUAACCAGUAACAUUUCUAUGUCAGGUAAAUGUAGUAGUACAAUGUUAUCCCAGAAGUAGAUGUUCAAAAUGAGUAGUGAA